AUCCAGCUGACGAGUCCUAAAUAGGACGAAAUGCGCAUCCUGGAU
rfam:Schistosoma mattheei strain Denwood, Zambia genome assembly, scaffold: SMTD_scaffold0009162